rnacentral:rRNA from 1 species
AUGAACGCUGGCGGCGUGCUUAACACAUGCACGUCGAACGGAAAGGCCUCUGCUUGCAGGGGUACUCGAGUGGCGAACGGGUGAGUAACACGUGGGUGAUCUGCCCUGCACUUCGGGAUAAGCCUGGGAAACUGGGUCUAAUACCGGAUAGGACAAUGGUUUGGAUGCUGUUGUGGAAAGUUUUUCGGUGUGGGAUGAGCUCGCGGCCUAUCAGCUUGUUGGUGGGGUAAUGGCCUACCAAGGCGUCGACGGGUAGCCGGCCUGAGAGGGUGUACGGCCACAUUGGGACUGAGAUACGGCCCAGACUCCUACGGGAGGCAGCAGUGGGGAAUAUUGCACAAUGGGCGCAAGCCUGAUGCAGCGACGCCGCGUGGGGGAUGACGGCCUUCGGGUUGUAAACUCCUUUCGCUAGGGACGAAGCGUUUUUGUGACGGUACCUGGAGAAGAAGCACCGGCUAACUACGUG